rnacentral:lncRNA from 1 species
UCGGUGCCACUGGUCGGUAUGAAUACAAAUCGCCUGCACCAAAUGGUUCAUAACUCCUUGCUCGCUGGUCCGAACCUCGAUCUUCCAACUUUGUGAUCCAGAUGACGUCUUUAGCUACAAGUUUUGUGAAGGGCUCGAGCUUAGGUAACGUAGGAAAAGGCUCCGUUCCGCCAGUUCUUUGACGCGCGUUGCUUUGGUCUUUUAUCGGCUCCGAGACAUGCACUGCUUCCGAUCGCCGUAACUUUCAGCUCCCAACUCCAAAUAGGACGAUCUCAAGUGUUCUGGAAACUCGACUCGACCCUCUUGAUUCUUGAUGAAUACUUCGGAAGCUGAAUCACAGUUCAAGUCCUCCGUCUCACGCGAUCAAAGUAAAGGUAUCGUUGGCUCCAAAGAAUUUGUCCGGGUUGUUGCACACAGGUGAGAGUCUCUCCAUGAUCCCAGCUCCAAGUUGAUCCCAAAAUUCUCCAAAUGACCUGUAAACACUCCAAAAAUGCAGGACUCUCUAGGACCUAAUGCAAAUUUCCCAAACAAAGCUAGAACCAAAGACAAACUCUAAUAAAACUAGCUAAAUGUAUGCAUGAGACUCAAUAUUUGGACAAAAAUGCAAUCCUAAACAUGACAAAUUAUGAAUAUAUCAACUCCCCCACACUUUUCCUUUGCUUGCCCUCAAGCAAACAAGAAAAAAUGAGAGAGAGAGAGAGAUUGAAUGCAUGGGAGUUCAUAUUUCUUUAAAGAGAGAUCAUCAUUAAAAGAAUUCAAAGCUCAUUGUUCAAGUUACCAAUUCUAGACUGCAAUGCAAACUGGUUCACUCAUAAAAAUUAGCCAUACUUGUCACCAAAUGAACCAAACUCAAGCACCAACCUUCACAAGCAUUCCUAACCUCAACCUUUUGACAUUCAUUUAAAGUUUCAAGUGGAUCAUGUUCAUGCAAAUCAAGUGAAUUCAUUUGGCUUGGGACUGGGUUUUGAGAUUAAAAUGAUCUCAAUCAAGUAACUGGUACUCCAUGCAAGGGGAUCACUCAAAAAUUAGUAGACUUUAGUAAAAUGCUAAGGAUAAAAAGCAAUGGAUGCAUACAAAGAUAGAACUACAUCUACCCCACACCCAAAAUGCUUUUCACAUUCAACCUUAAACCUCUCAAGAUUCUUUCUCUAGUCUACUCACCCCAAAUGGCAUUUUGCCUUUGACAAUCAGCUCUCAUCACUCUCUUCAUUUCAUCUCUUAGGGGAAUGCUUUCUUUAACAACCACUCAGUGAGUUUCUUUUCUUUAACACACAAGCUCUUCCUUAAUCCAGCCUCUUUUUGAAUCUUUUCUUUUUCUUUUCAUGAGACUCUUUUCAUUUCAACACAUGAGCUUUAUAUUCCAGCACACACUCACUUUCUUUCAUUUAAGCAUUCAUUCCCCUAACCAAUCCGGUUCUUUCCACUUUCAUCACUCAGAUUUUUUUUUCUUUUCAGCUCACACACUCAAAAUCAAUGCUCUCACUUUCACCUAAACCUAGACUAGCCCUUGAUGUUGGACUAGUGUCUACAUGCAGCACUAUCUUUGUCGCUCUAAACCCAACACUUUUUACCAAGUCUACUAGAAACAAGGCCUCACAAAUCAUGCACACAGGAAGGGUGUUUAGGCUUCAAAGAAAGGUUUGGCUAAAGGUAGGGAACUGUCUCAAGAUGAGAGAUCAGCUAUUUGAGCUAGCAAGAGUGAUUAAAAGGGAUAAGAAAGCUCAAAUAUGUAUGUGGUACCCAUGAAUUCACAAUGAUAUGCACAAACAUGAUAAUUAGAUGUCAAAUUCAAGGGUUCUCACUUAAGCAAGGUUGAGGCUAUUCACAACUUGAUUCAGCUAGCACAGAAGUAUUGAGACACCAGUUCAAAGCAUGGUUCACACUUGAUUUCAUACCAGUUUUGCAAUGCAUUAAAGGACCAAGCUCUUAAAAUGAUGCUCUCUUCAAGAAAAAAUCUAUCAUUACUCCCAUUUGCAUAUGAUGCAACCUAUAUGAAAAUGCAAACUAGACUCAACCUAAAAUGUGAAUGCAACUACAUGAGCUUUUUUUUUUUUGGAAUUUUUUCUGAUUUUUCGAUUUUUUUUGGUUUUUAUAUGCACUUAGAUGAAUGCAAAAUGAGACUCAAAGUGAAUAGGAAAAUAAGAGCAGAAUAAACAUGAUUAGUAAACAUAAAAUCCCUCCCCCACACUUAGAUAACACAGUCCCUUGUGUUAUAAAAGCAUGAAGGAGAAGUGCAAAGCAGAAUCACAAAAUGCAAAGUGAAAAUAUACUAAGCUAGAUGCAUAUUUACAAGGGUGGAGUGUUACCUUCUCAAGGACUUAGAGAUGGGGCUGGAGACCCCAUUGAGACAGAUGGAUUGGAGGAUUGGUCCGCUGGUGAUUGCAUUGACUCCCUCCUGGCCCUUAGCUCCUCUUCAUUCGGAUCUUGCUCACACGGACCGGCACAAAUACUCAACAGCUUUCCAUGGUAUGAACUUUCAGCGGCUUCACCUCUUUGGUACCUCUCAAGCUUGGCGUUCAGCUUCUUGAUCUUGGAACCCAUCUUCUUAACUGUGCACACCAGGCUCCUUACAGUACCGGCCAUCUUCUUAAAGUUCAUGACUUGCCAUUUGUUCCAACUCUAGAGAUUCUUGGUGCGGCGAUGAGCAGCUUCAGUGGCGUUGUUCAUCAUGGGGCCAUCAUAAGGAUCAAGACAAUACCCGCGGCUCCCAUAGAUUGGUCUUGGCAAUUCAGGCUCGGUAUCAACAUGGUUUGGCUCCUCAGCAGGUGUGUUCACACGCGGCUUCUUGGCAGCAUUGGGCUUUCUGAUCAGCUGAACAGGAGGGUGAAUCUCUGGGUUGUAGUACUGAUCCUUGGUGAUGUAAAAAGUAAUGUUCUUUCUCUCCGCAAGUGAGGUAAGGGCUGGAUUUGACAACAAGACUCUAGCAGUAAUCUUAUCUUCAAGAGUGAAGUUGCUUUAACAACCUUGGUUCAGGCAUUUCAUCAAACACUUUUGGUGCAUGAAAUGCCCAGAAUCUAGACCACAUAUGAUGUGUAUGGAUCUAGCAUUAAGAACAGGUUGUAGAGAAUGGAAUAUGAAUGAUCUAACCCCUAAGCUCACUAAUCUACCACCUAAGCACCCUAAUCUACAUAUCUAAGACCUUAAUAUGGGGAUUACUCACUAAUCAUGCUAAUCUCUCUUAAACCUUUGCAAGUUGAGAAGAUUGACAUGAUUAAUGAUGAGAAAUGUAGAUGGAGAAGAUAGAUAAUGAUGGAUUUGCAGCUUUAAAAACAAGAUCUCUCAAAAUCUCUUGAUUAAAACGUCCAAAAUCAGAUAUUUCUCUUCAAAAUGAGUUACACAAAAGAGACAAAGAGAUUAUGGAAUAAAGCUUAAGUCUGCUGGAUAAUGCUAAAACAUAUACAUAGUUAGGGUUUCUUGGUGGGCCAACGUAGAACAAACUAGGUCUUGGUCCCAAAAAGGCCCAUAAAAACGUUCUGGAUCGAGGUUGUAUCGACUGACUUUCGGUCGGUGCUUUUGGUCGGUGUGGCGUUAAGAAUCUCUUAGACAGAAUCUAGACCAGAACUUUACUCGGUGUUUUGCUCGGUGCCGCGUAAAGAAUAGCUUCAGGGGACGGACACCACCUGACUUUUACUCGGUGUGGCUCCUCUGCAUUCAUUCGGAAAAUUUGAACUCCAAGGAUCAGCAAAAGUCAGGUUUUUUUUGCAUUCAUACCAACUGACUUUCACUCGGUGCCACUGGUCGGUAUGAAUACAAAUUGCCUGCACCAAAUGGUUCAUAACUCCUUGCUCGCUGGUCCAAACCUCGAUCUUCAAACUCUAUGAGCCAGAAGACGUCUUUAGCUACAAGUUUCAUAAAGGGCUCGAGCUCAGGUGACGUUGGAAAAGGCUCCGUUCCGCCAGUUCUUUGACGCGCGUUGCUUUGGUCUUUUAUCGGCUCCGAGACAUGCACUGCUUCCGAUCGCCGUAACUUUCAGCUCAGAACUCCAAAUAGGACGAUCUCAAGUUUUCUGGAAACUAGACUCGACCCUCUUGAUUCUUGAUGAAGACUCCGGAAGCUGAAUCACAGUUCAAGUCCUCCGUCGCACGCGAUUAAAGUAAAGGUAUCGUUGGCUCCAAAGAAUUUGUCCGGGUUGUUGCACACAGGUGAGAGUCUCUCCAUGAUCCCAGCUCCAAGUUGAUCCCAAAAGUCUCCAAAUGACCUGUAAACACUCCAAAAAUACAGGACUCUCUAGGACCUAAUGCAAA